AUUGAACGCUGGCGGCAUGCCUUACACAUGCAAGUCGAACGGCAGCACGGGUGCUUGCGCCUGGUGGCGAGUGGCGAACGGGUGAGUAAUACAUCGGAACAUGUCCUGUAGUGGGGGAUAGCCCGGCGAAAGCCGGAUUAAUACCGCAUACGAUCCACGGAUGAAAGCGGGGGACCUUCGGGCCUCGCGCUAUAGGGUUGGCCGAUGGCUGAUUAGCUAGUUGGUGGGGUAAAGGCCUACCAAGGCGACGAGCAGUAGCUGGUCUGAGAGGACGACCAGCCACACUGGGACUGAGACACGGCCCAGACUCCUACGGGAGGCAGCAGUGGGGAAUUUUGGACAAUGGGCGAAAGCCUGAUCCAGCAAUGCCGCGUGUGUGAAGAAGGCCUUCGGGUUGUAAAGCACUUUUGUCCGGAAAGAAAUCCUUGACUCUAAUACAGUCGGGGGAUGACGGUACCGGAAGAAUAAGCACCGGCUAACUACGUG
rnacentral:rRNA from 1 species